rnacentral:lncRNA from 10 species
AGUGCCUAUCGGGCAGCCAGUGAACAUUUGUCCAUCUUUAAGGCAUUAAACUGAGAAGAACCACUGAGGAAAGCAUGCCACAGUCUUUCCCAAAAUCCCUGUGUCUUAAGGAACAACCAAGAAGUUAACUGGUCAGGGAAAAGAUUUCUUUUGGAACACAGAGAAUGAUGGGAGUUGUGAUCCAUACCUCCGUGUGCAUAAUGGUUGUACCUGCUCCAGGAAGGCGCUGGAUCCUCCCAACUCCAUGGGAAGAGAUUAGGACACAAACAACAGACAGAAGGUGACCACAGGAGGACACAGUGAGAAGCUGGCCAUCUGCAAGCCAAGGAGAGAGACCUCAGGAGAAACCAAACCUGCCAGCACCUUAAUCUUAGACUUCUAGCCCUCAGAACGAAAUGUUCCUCACCCCCCAAGAAGGAAACCCUGUACGCAUCAAGCAGUCAUUCCUCAUUCUCCUCUCCCCCAGCCCCUGGAGACCUUUCAUCUGCUUUCUGUCUCUAUAGAUUUGCCUGUACUAGACAUUUCAUAUGACUGGAAGCAUAUAAUAUGUGGUCUUUUGUGUUUGACUUGUUUUACUUAGUCUAAUGUUUUCAAGGUUCGCCAUGUUGUAACAUGUACACUUUACACAAUUUUAAGCCUAAUAUUCUUUAAGCCAUAUAUUCAAAAUAAACAGCUUACAAAAAUGA